UAGAGACAAUUUCAAAAGAGUAAGUUGC
rnacentral:sRNA from 1 species